GGGGGCGUAGCUCAGUUGGUUAGAGCGCCGGCCUGUCACGCCGGAGGCCGCGGGUUCGAGUCCCGUCGCUCCCG
rnacentral:tRNA from 8 species